AUUGAACGCUGGCGGCAGGCCUAACACAUGCAAGUCGAGCGGAUGAGAGGAGCUUGCUCCUUGAUUUAGCGGCGGACGGGUGAGUAAUGCCUAGGAAUCUGCCUGGUGGUGGGGGAUAACGUUCCGAAAGGAGCGCUAAUACCGCAUACGUCCUACGGGAGAAAGCGGGGGAUCUUCGGACCUCGCGCCAUUAGAUGAGCCUAGGUCGGAUUAGCUAGUUGGUGAGGUAAUGGCUCACCAAGGCGACGAUCCGUAACUGGUCUGAGAGGAUGAUCAGUCACACUGGAACUGAGACACGGUCCAGACUCCUACGGGAGGCAGCAGUGGGGAAUAUUGGACAAUGGGCGAAAGCCUGAUCCAGCCAUGCCGCGUGUGUGAAGAAGGUCUUCGGAUUGUAAAGCACUUUAAGUUGGGAGGAAGGGUAUUCACCUAAUACGUGAGUAUUUUGACGUUACCAACAGAAUAAGCACCGGCUAACUCUGUGCCAGCCGCCGCAGUAAAAC
rnacentral:rRNA from 1 species